UGUGGAAGAACUCUUUUCUGAACUGGAUGC
rnacentral:piRNA from 1 species